AUUGAACGCUGGCGGUAGGCCUAACACAUGCAAGUCGAGCGGAUGAAGGGAGCUUGCUCCUGGAUUCAGCGGCGGACGGGUGAGUAAUGCCUAGGAAUCUGCCUGGUAGUGGGGGAUAACGUCCGGAGACGGGCGCUAAUACCGCAUACGUCCUGAGGGAGAAAGUGGGGGGUCUUCGGACCUCACGCUAUCAGAUGAGCCUAGGUCGGAUUAGCUAGUUGGUGGGGUAAAGGCCUACCAAGGCGACGAUCCGUAACUGGUCUGAGAGGAUGAUCAGUCACACUGGAACUGAGACACGGUCCAGACUCCUACGGGAGGCAGCAGUGGGGAAUAUUGGACAAUGGGCGAAAGCCUGAUCCAGCCAUGCCGCGUGUGUGAAGAAGGUCUUCGGAUUGUAAAGCACUUUAAGUUGGGAGGAAGGGCAGUAAGUUAAGACCUUGCUGUUUUGACGUUACCAACAGAAUAAGCACCGGCUAACUUCGUG
rnacentral:rRNA from 1 species